UACGUAGGGGGCAAGCGUUGUCCGGAUUAUUGGGCGUAAAGAGCGUGUAGGCGGCUUGGUAGGUCCGCUGUGAAAACUCGAGGCUCAACCUCGAGAUGUCGGCGGAAACCACUUGGCUAGAGUCCGGAAGAGGAGAGUGGAAUUCCUGGUGUAGCGGUGAAAUGCGCAGAUAUCAGGAAGAACACCGAUGGCGAAGGCAGCUCGCUGGGACGGUACUGACGCUGAGGCGCGAAAGCGUGGGGAGCAAACAGG
rnacentral:rRNA from 1 species